AAAAUAUUUUGUUUUGAAAAUUGUUUUGAAAUAUAUUUUUGGGCAGCCAUUAUAACUAAUAUUGACGAUUCCAUCACAGUCUAUAACUGUUUGUUUAGGAUCGAGAAGUAUUCCCUAAAUAGACAUCGGCCCUUAAAGCAAUGCAACUAAAGUCAGCAAGAAUAGUAUAGAUGCCAGUUUAUUUUCUCAGAGAGAAAGAUUUAGCUGCUAUUCCUUUGACGGUCAGACGGUAAUUGCCAAGUGGUACAAUGAAACUGGCUUGUUUAUUAAGAAAACGCAAAAAAUAAGGAACUUAGCAUCAUGACAAUGAGUCAGUGCACAUUGCGGGAAAACCAAGCGACUUUAUUGCACUGUCAGGCAUCGAAGAAAUCCAACCAACACCUUAUUUCACAUAUCUAGGACCUUACAAAUCCUGGUUAUUUAAAAAAAAAUAUGCGAGGAAGAGUCUUAAACAGCAAUGCGGUCAAUAAACUUGCAAAACUCCAAAAAAGCCAGACUAUUUUUCAAAAUGAUUUUAUCGACUUCAAAAAGUUCUUUUCUAGGACCAAAAAAUUGCCCCCAAAUACUGACCAACGACACCAUAACCAGUGUUAAGGUGUACCUAGAUACUCGAACUUCGAUAUCAACUUCUUGGCCGCCAAAAUCCAGAGGAGGGAUAGUUUGACGGAGGAGCCAGGAAAGCAAGUUCGCACAUCUUCCAUUAGUUUUUUUAACGAGAAGCUCCAGGAACCGAUGGCCAAAUGCAAUA